CUACGGGUUGCUGCAGUGGGGAAUAUUGGACAAUGGGGGAAACCCUGAUCCAGCAAUGCCGCGUGUGUGAAGAAGGCCUGCGGGUUGUAAAGCACUUUCGGUUGGGAGGACUGCUUCUAGCACUAAUAUUGUUGGAAGUUGACGUUACCUUCAGAAGAAGCACCGGCUAACUCCGUGCCAGCAGCCGCGGUAAUACGGAGGGUGCAAGCGUUAAUCGGAAUUACUGGGCGUAAAGCGCGCGUAGGCGGCUAGAUCAGUCGGGUGUGAAAGCCCCGGGCUUAACCUGGGAACUGCAUCCGAUACUGUCUAGCUUGAGUACAGGAGAGGAGAGUGGAAUUCCACAUGUAGCGGUGAAAUGCGUAGAUAUGUGGAGGAACACCAAUGGCUAAGGCAGCUCUCUGGCCUGAUACUGAUGUUGAGGUGCGAAAGCGUGGGGAUCAAACAGGAUUAGAUACCCCAGUAGUC
rnacentral:rRNA from 1 species